rnacentral:misc_RNA from 1 species
UCUCCGUAGGUGAACCCGCGGAGGGAUCAUUACAGAGUUCUCGCCCUUACGGGUAGAUCUCCCACCCACUGUUAUCGUUACUGUCGUUUCUUUGGCGGGCCGCCGGGUCCCCGGCCGCCGGCGCCUAGCUGCCGGCGCGCGCCCGCCAGAGGCCUUCAAACUCUGAAUGUUAGUGUCGUCUGAGUACUAUAUAAUAGUUAAAACUUUCAACAACGGAUCUCUUGGUUCUG